rnacentral:pre_miRNA from 9 species
GACGAUUUGCCAAGCGGAUAAGUCACCGGCUGGCAGUGUGGUUAGCUGGUUGUCAGAUGUGAGACAACGGCUAUCACCACUGCCGUCCUGGUGGUUCGUCCAUCCGUCAUCUUCGAUA